rnacentral:tRNA from 1 species
UCUUGGCUCAGAUGGUAAAGUGUCUGCCUACAAAGCAGAAGACCCAGGUUCAAUCCCUGGGUCAGGAA